rnacentral:lncRNA from 1 species
GGGCAAAAUUAAAUUACUAGAAGUUGUUUGGAGAAACAAUUGGUUAAUGAACCUAUCUGUAGAUGCAGAUGGGUUGGCCGAUCAAAGUCGGGCUUAUGUGUAGUCUAUGUGGAUUCUAGUACCUACUAGAAAAUUAAAGUAAUUUUUUGAAUUGGAGGUAGAGGCUAUCAAUUUGAAUAAAAUAGUGGAAGAACCUUAAGACUAAAAUUCAAGUCUCUAGGCUUAAAAUAAUUCAUAUACAUUAGGUCAUUAUUCUCUUUUCUCAAAAUAAGGCUAAACCUUAAUUGCUCCAAUCACUGUUAGACAGU